CUUGAAGGGGGGGUGGGUCCCUCAGCCCGAAUUGCGAGAGGGCAAAGGCUAGGCCGAGGGACCCCACCAGUGCACU
rnacentral:pre_miRNA from 1 species